rnacentral:tRNA from 1 species
GCCUGGGUGGCUCAGUCGGUUGAGCUUCUGACUUUGGCUCAGGUCAUGAUCUCAUGGUCUGUGAGUUCGAGCCCCGCGUCAGGCU